ACAUAAGAGGUCCCGCCUGCCCUGUGACUUAUGUUUAACGGCCGCGGUAUUUUGACCGUGCAAAGGUAGCGCAAUCACUUGUCUUUUAAAUGAAGACCUGUAUGAAUGGCAAAACGAGGGCUUAACUGUCUCCUUCCCCCAGUCAAUGAAAUUGAUCUCCCCGUGCAGAAGCGGGGAUACUAACAUAAGACGAGAAGACCCUAUGGAGCUUUAGACGCAAGAACAGAUCAUGUUUAACCCCUUGAACAACCAGGGAAAAAUAAAUUGAACCCUGAUCCUAUGUCUUUGGUUGGGGCGACCACGGGGAACCAAAAAACCCCCGAGUGGAAUGAGAACACAUUCUUAAAACCGAGAGCCACAGCUCUAAGAAUCAGAAUAUCUGACCUUAAAGAUCCGGCAUAGCCGAUCAACGAACUGAGUUACCCUAGGGAUAACAGCGCAAUCCCCUUUUAGAGCCCAUAUCGACAAGGGGGUUUACGACCUCGAUGUUGGAUCAGGACAUCCUAAUGGUGUAGCCGCUAUUAAGGGUUCGUUUGUUCAACGAUUAAAGUCCUACGUGAUCUGA
rnacentral:rRNA from 1 species